rnacentral:rRNA from 1 species
AUUGAACGCUGGCGGCAUGCUUUACACAUGCAAGUCGAACGGCAGCACGAGUGCUUGCACUUGGUGGCGAGUGGCGGACGGGUGAGUAAUACAUCGGAACGUAUCCUUAAGUGGGGGAUAACGCAUCGAAAGAUGUGCUAAUACCGCAUAUUCUCUGUGGAGGAAAGUAGGGGAUCGAAAGACCUUAUGCUUAUGGAGCGGCCGAUGCCUGAUUAGCUUGUUGGUGGGGUAAUGGCCUACCAAGGCGACGAUCAGUAGUUGGUCUGAGAGGACGACCAGCCACACUGGGACUGAGACACGGCCCAGACUCCUACGGGAGGCAGCAGUGGGGAAUUUUGGUACGAAUAGGGCGGAAAGACCUGAUCCAGCAAUGCCGCGUGAGUGAAGAAGG